AUCCCCCACCCUUCCUUCCGAUCCUUCACUCUUUCACGUCUCCUACAAUCUCUCUCUCUCUCUCUCUCUCAUUUUCAUUUCCUCCCUCAUUUGAUUCUUUCUCCAUUUCCCUUCCCCACUGUCUGUUUCUCUCCUUUCUCUUUCCUGCCUACCCCCUGCACAGUCACAGUUGUCAGUGGCACACACACAUUCGACCCCUUUUCAGGCUGCGCUGCUAGAAUGGAGUGAAUCUGAGACCUCACAGGAGUUGCUAUGUCUCACAGGAUGACUUCUAUAACUAAUCAAAGCAUAAUCCACCUAGCAGUAAGACGAGAAACUCAUCAAAGUCUCCUGCAAUCAAGGUAUCCAAUGAACAUCCUGCACUGUUAGAUGUGGCCCUAAAUCCCAACUGAAGUACUUAUUGGGUUUAACUGCUGCUUUACACAUGUAUGGGCACGGCCUACACUUUCUUUCUUUUUUUUUUCUUCCUCCAAAUGUGAAUUUGUGUUUGGAUGCAGAAAUGCUUCCACCAACUUCCUGGACUGCAAAGUCAUGGAAUAUUUAGUAGCUGUUCAUUGCUCCUUGCUUUCUGAUGCACUUAGAGCAUCUCAUAAACACCCCCAAAAUAGACCAGGAAUGUAAAGUGUAGUGAGUGGAUUUGGGUGGUUAAUCUCAAUCUCCAGUGGGAGAAGGCAUUUGGCAACUCUAAGAAAAUAACGUAGGCUAAAUGUUAGACAAAUUAAAAAGUAAGACAAAGUCCUUAUUGAGAUUGGUAGUUAUUGAUUCAUUGUGAGUCUAAGUACACAUGUUAAGCCUCUAAAGAGUCAAAAGUGCUGCUGAUGUAUUAUUGGGUUUGCAGAAGAACAAUCAGGAUGCAAGAGAGAAAGAAUUACUAUCCCAGGAAUUACAGCCUUCAGUUCUCUUCAGGCUCUGGAAGGAAUGAUGUUUAAUGACUGAGGCAGAAAUAUCAUUGUCUAUUAGAAACUUAAAGUAAGGAAUAAGAGUCUACCAACUUGAAGCCCAGCUGGAUUUCUUAUAGACAGCAGCACUGGAAAACUCGGACUUUCAAAUGAGGAAAGGAUUCACUGAAUGUAACUUAUCUAAGUUAUUGGCCAUGAACAACUUUAGCAGAAAUUGUCUUAUGAAUUACUUUGAACAUUCUACAGUUAAUAAUUUUUAAAAAGUCUUAGAGCUGCAGGAGUGUUGAGAUAUUGUUCCAGCAAAAUUUCCUACCUAAUUAAGAACCCCCACAGUUGGGCCUGCUGUGUCUUCUUGAAUUCCUUCAGCGACACAGAGCGAGCCUCGUCUUUAGCAUGAAUCCAAAGAACCAGUGAUGGCUCAAUUAAGGAUUUAGCACCAGAAGACAUGGUUCAAUUCUAAGCUCUGCCAUUUACUACAGGGAUGAAUCACUAUGUUUUAGAAAUUUUGUUAUAUAUUUUAAAAAUCUAUAAAAUCAAAUAACACUCAACAUAGACUAUAAAAAUAUAGCUGGUUGUUUUUAGUCUAAAAUAUGACACAAAUGUAUGGUAUAUGGUUUUGCUAUUAAUAUUUUGAAAAGACUAUAAUGUAUUGAAAUAAAUUUGGUUUAUUUGUAAUUUC
ensembl:lncRNA novel transcript